rnacentral:rRNA from 1 species
AAACUAACAAGGAUUCCCCUAGUAACUGCGAGUGAAGCGGGAAGAGCUCAAAUUUAAAAUCUGGCAGUCUUGCUGUCCGAGUUGUAAUCUGGAGAAGCAUUUUCCGCGUCAGACCGUGUACAAGUCUCUUGGAAUAGAGCGUCAUUGAGGGUGAUAAUCCCGUUCAUGACACGGACUACUGAUGCUUUGUGAUAUGCUUUCAAAGAGUCGAGUUGUUUGGGAAUGCAGCUCAAAUUGGGUGGUAAGUUCCAUCUAAAGCUAAAUAUUGGCGAGAGACCGAUAGCGAACAAGUACCGUGAGGGAAAGAUGAAAAGCACUUUGAAAAGAGAGUUAAACAGUACGUGAAAUUGUUGAAAGGGAAACGCUUGAAGUCAGUCGCGUUGAUUGAGACUCAGCCUUGCUGUGCUUGGUGUACUUCUCAUUUGACGGGUCAACAUCAAUUUUGGUUGAUGGAUAAAGGUGAGGGGAAUGUGGCACCUUCGGGUGUGUUAUAGCCCCUUGCUGCAUACAUUGACUGGGAUUGAGGAACGCAGCACGCCUUCAUGGCCGAGGGUUCGCCCUACGUAACGUGCUUAGGAUGUUGGCAUAAUGGCUUUAAGCGACCCGUCUUGAAACACGGACCAAGGAGUCUAACAUGCUUGCGAGUGUUAGGGUGGAAAACCCUUGCGCGUAAUUAAAGUGAAAGUUGGGACCCUCUCAAGGGGCACCGACGCCCGGCCCUGAAGUUUACUGACGGUGCUGCGGUAGAGCACGUAUGUUGGGACCCGAAAGAUGGUGAACUAUGCCUGAAUAGGGUGAAGCCAGGGGAAACCCUGGUGGAGGCUCGUAGCGAUUCUGACGUGCAAAUCGAUCGUCAAAUUUGGGUAUAGGGGCGAAAGACUAAUCGANCCNNNNNNNNNNNNNNNNNNNNN